UACGGAGGGUGCAAGCGUUAUCCGGAAUCAUUGGGUUUAAAGGGUCCGCAGGCGGGCUUAUAAGUCAGUGGUGAAAGCCUACAGCUCAACUGUAGAACUGCCAUUGAUACUGUAAGUCUUGAAUUCGGUCGAAGUGGGCGGAAUAUGACAUGUAGCGGUGAAAUGCUUAGAUAUGUCAUAGAACACCGAUAGCGAAGGCAGCUCACUAGGCCUGGAUUGACGCUCAGGGACGAAAGCGUGGGGAUCAAAC
rnacentral:rRNA from 1 species